UACCCGGUAGUGUAAUGGUAGCACUAGAGAUUUUGGAUCUCUCGGUGGAGGUUCGAAUCCUCCCCGGGUAG
rnacentral:tRNA from 1 species